rnacentral:lncRNA from 10 species
UGCAUGAAUAAUUUGAGACUCAGUCCAGUUUAAUAAUUCAAUUCAACAGCAUUGCACACUGUGAAUCAGAUCUUGAAGAUACACAGAUGGGCAAAGAGAAGUUCCAGCUUAUGAGGGACAUGCUAUUCAGAAUGGCAGAUGAAACCAUGAACAAACAAUAACAACUUGAUUGAUUUCAGAGGAAGUGAUUGGGGUGUACCAUUUCAAAUACAGUGUGGAUGCAGUACAAUUCUUGGCUCUAGACUUGUUAAUUGGCUUUUCCUCAAGCUGAUAGGUUGUUUUUUUAACCACUAAUAGAGAAAAAUGCACAGAAAGGCCCCACAGACACCCUACCCACUGUGGCUCACAAACUUAUGCCCCUUGCUUUUCCACAGUGCCCAGCUUUCCAACACCUGUGCUCUGCUGGGAAGGAGGGGCAAAAAGAAGGAGGAGCUGGACAUGAAUGCUAGGAAACCCGAGCAGGUGCUGGCCAGCUGAAUGGAGACUGAAAGCUGAAUCGUUUCUUCUGCGGAGGCAAGAAUUGAGUUUGCUUCAGACCUGGACAGAACCACUGCCGCUAACAUAUUUCGGUGCCCUGUGACUCGGAAAUGUUCCACCGGCUGCAGUUUAGGCUAACCCUGCUUAUUCCUGUAAACCAACAAGGGACCUCUGCAGUUCAGAAGAAACAAGAGGGAUCGGCCAUCAAGCUCCAGAUGAUCCUCAGUGAGGGAUACUGUCCUCUCAAUAUUCAAGAGUCACCCUUCUACAGAAGAUCCCUAGACUUCCCAUCAGUGGGACAUGACAGAGGUGAGAAACCUGAGAUUCGUGGAAGUUAAAAGACUUGUGCAGCAUCCACAGCUACACUGGCCAUUCCUGUCGUCUUCAAUAUGAGUUCUUCCAUGCUUACGAAGUGCCUAAAAACAGUAAGUGCUAAAUAAAUAUUUAUUGAAGAAAUGGUUUAAUAAUUAUUACCUACAAGAGAAAAUUAAGGCAUUUAGAGUUUAAGUUCUUCACUAAAUUUGCACAGUUUUUAGGGGCAGUGUUGGGUCAACUGACUCCAUGUUUGGUGAUCCUUCCAUUUUAGACUGCAGGGCCAUUAGAGUUAAAACCAAUUUAAAGUUAGUAACUAUUGGUUAGAUGUUUUGUAGUCAUUUUUGUCUUUUUAAGGGACAAUUUUCCUAAAACCUUUAAAGGAAUAGCACUUUCAAGCAAAACUCAGCAACUGUUGAGUCCUUUAAAACCUUAUCCUGCCUGAAUAAUUAAAUUGUGGCCGCUAUCACAGAAACAAACGGGAUUAGUCAUUGCUUUGUAAAGCAUGAAGACCAUUAAACAGAUGCAUGUUAAAUUAGAUUUUAGUAAAAUUCCUUAAAGCAGGUUAGCAAACCCAAUACAGGUGAAAUAAUAAUUGGGGUAUAACAACUAGCGUAACACUUCUUAGAUAUUUUCUACAAUGCCCACUUGCUCACUUAUUUCUGAAUGAUAUGAAAUGAACAAAACAUUUUUUCCAUUAUGAUUAAAAUGUAAGGGGGUUGGGAGAGAGAGAGAGAGAGAGAGGGGAAGAGAUGAGAUAAGGUCAUUUUAGUAGCCAAACAGGACAUCUUGGGUACAUAAUCAGGCCCAAAUUAUGAAAAAAUUAAGUAUUAAUCUGUAUGUAUCUUAUGAUACUUCAUUUAUCAUAAUGGUGUCAAUAUUACUGAGCAAAAUACCCAUUGGUUCAGGUGCAUAUUUUAAAGGGUAAUUGAAUUAAAUUUAUUUAAAUACUCUAUUUGUAUUGUUUAAAUUAUGUUCCAGCAAAAUAAUGUCUAAUAAUGGAAUAAACUAUGACAAGGCAUGUAACUCUAAGCGGCACUCCAUUUUCCCUCUCCUCUU